GGAUGUGAGGGCGAUCUGGCUGCGACAUCUGUCACCCCAUUGAUCGCCAGGGUUGAUUUGGCUGAUCUGGCUGGCUAGGCGGGUGUCCCCUUCCUCCCUCACCACUCCAUGUGCGUCCCUCCCGAAGCUGCACGCUCGGUCGAAGAGGACGACCAUCCCCGAUAGAGGAGAGGACCGUUCUUCGGUCAGGGGUAUACGAGUAGCUGCGCUCCCCUGCUAGAACCUCCAAACAAGCUCUCAAGGUCCAUUUGAAUACAGCUUCUAAGCUGAAUCACUCUUU
rnacentral:snRNA from 1 species